GCCUAGCCGUAAAUCUUGGCACUUCCCCYACUAAAGUGCCCGCCUGAGAACUACGAGCACAAACGCUUAAAACUCUAAGGACUUGGCGGUGCCCCAAACCCACCUAGAGGAGCCUGUUCUAUAAUCGAUAACCCACGAUCCACCCGACCACCCCUUGCCAAAACAGCCUACAUACCGCCGUCGUCAGUCCACCUUCAUGUGAAAGAGCAACAGUGAACACAAUAGCCCGAUCCGCUAGCAAGACAGGUCAAGGUAUAGCCCAUGGGGUGGAAGAAAUGGGCUACAUUUUCUGGAACAGAAAACUUAACGAAAGGGGACGUGAAACCAUCCCCGAAAGGCGGAUUUAGCAGUAAAGCGGGACAAUAAUGCCCCCUUUAAACCGGCCCUGAGGCACGU
rnacentral:rRNA from 1 species